ACAAAACCAAUCAUAUCCCCCCUUGACAAAUGGGCCAUACCAUGGGCCACUUGGCAAACAGAGGUGAUAAGACAAGCUGGCAUUCACUGUCUGCCAGACAGUCUGUCUCCAAAUUUUAGAAACUGUGUCAAGUUUACAACCCCGCUGUUGUCAUACCAAAUGAGAACCAACAUCCAAAGCCUGUUUAGAUGCCAAAUCAUCAGUGUCUUUCCCAACAGUAGCAGAGAAGAACAUGGAGUGGCUAUGACACUUUGAGGCAGCCAAUUUAGCAGCCUCAUCAGCCUCAUAUUUCGAAUAGUACUUCCACAAGCAUUGUGAAAACCCCUACUCCUCCAGACACCACACCAGGAGAGACAAACCCCUAUUGCAUAAGCAGAAUCGAAGAAAAGUGUAACCCUUUUCCCUUCUCUCAUGUUACAGGCAGUGGUUAGUGCCAAAAGUUCAGCCUGUUGAGCUGAGAAGGUAUCUGGUAAUGGUUGUUGUAUGUGAGUGGUUCUAUCAAUUGUUACAAUACCAAACCCUGCAUGUUUCUUCCCUGUAGUUUGAUCUAUAUAUGCAGAACCGUCCACGAAAAGCUCAGCAUCAGUCAGGGCAGUGUCAGAGAGGUGAGGCCCAGCAUUCGUUGGUGUGGGACCCACUGUCUCUGCACUGCCUUUGGUUGAAUCUGUCAUGGUGCCCCGUGAUUUGGUUUUAAUCAGGUUCUAUGUAAUGUGGACUGAGUGACUUAUCUGUAUGGUACUGUAGAAAAACCCAGUUCUAUCCCCGUAAACAGGUAGUAGAACCUAACAUAGGGUGAUAUACCCAACGCAGUUCUAUUUUCUCUAACCCCUCUUCUUCUUUAGUUUCACUACAUUUAUUCACUAACCACGCUACUGUAAGUGGUUCCACAUACGUGUGGUAAAUAACCACAAUUGGUUUCAAUUGUAUUUUAACUUCAGUACGGGUGUCUCUCUGUCUCCUCUCUUGUGGAUGUAAUGGAAGAGUAAACUCACAUACAUGUCUUUCCCAAAACGCAAUUCUUAAAUGUAUCCCUUCUUGUACUAGUCUUAAAGACUUGUUGUCUAUACCAGUCUAGAUUUAUUUCAGCACAUAGAAAUUCUUGAUAUUGACUAGCAUAUAUCCAUUCACUGUUAUCAAUACACUCAAUUCAUUCAACAAUUGUACCACACCAAAUCUAUAAUCCCACCAAUUAUACAUAUAUCAAAACAAAACCAAUGUCUUCCCUCAGGUAAGGACACCAUACACAACCAUUCUUUAAAAACCUGUGCCUUCCAUCAGGUAAGGACACCUUACACAACCAUUCUUUAAAAACCUGUGCCUUCCCUCAGGUAAGAACACCAUACACAACCAUUCUUUAAAAACCUGUGCCUUCCCUCAGGUGUCAUGCCCUGACCAUAGAGAGCCCUUGGUUCUCUAUGGUGUAGUAGGUCAGGGCGUGACUAGGGGGUGUUCUAGUUCAAUAUUUCUAUGUUGGUGUUUUGUAUGGUUCCCAAUUAGAGACAGCUGGUAAUCGUUGCCUCUAAUUGGGGAUCAUAUUUAGGUAGCCAUUUUUCCCACCUGUGUUUGUGGGAUAUUGUUUGUAUUGGUGCUUGUUUGUUGUUUUGGUUAAGGAAGUUUCACUUUAAAUAACUAUGUGGAACUCAACAAACGCUGCACCUUGGUCCGUCUCUUACAACAACUGUGACACCGGUUAAGGACACCAUAUACAACAAUUCUUUAAAAACCCAUGCCUCCCCUCAGGCAUCUGCUUACCUUCUAAUUUGAUGCGCUGCACAGUGGGACGAAGAUCAUCCAGAUGCAGUGGUCACCAACUCCUGUGGUUUCUCACUCUACUAUAAGCCAUUUCAACUUCAUCUGGAAAAAUCGUAUACAUUAUAUUAGGAAAUCUGUCAUUAUGAAUAUGGUGAUCUCAAUUGUUUUUAUUUUCUUAUUUUGAAUAAUACUUAAGAUAAAUUGGACUAAACAUUUCUUAAAGAAUCCGUCUUCAGUUUGGAAUCUCAUCCCUCAUAUCUUCUCCUGUUUUGGUGGCCUCAAUUUUGUUACUUUGUAACUAUAAACUGUAUAAGAUUCUUACAAAAUGAUCUGCUUUUCAUAGACAAGUAUUCUUAGCGUGGUCGUUAAUAUAUAAACAAUUUCUCCCCGCAUACAGUGCCUUGCUAAAGUAUUCGGCCCCCUUGAACUUUUCAACCUUUUGACACAUAUUCAGAAUAAUUUUGCACGGCCAAUUUUUCAGUUUUUUAUUUGUUAAAAAAGUUUGAAAUAUCCAAUAAAUUUCGUUCCACUUCAUAAUUGUGUCCCACUUGUUGUUGAUUCUUCACAAAAAAUUACAGUUUUAUAUCUUUAUGUUUGAAGCCUGAAAUGUGUCAAAAGGUCGAAAAGUUAAAGGGGGCCGAAUACUUUCGCAAGGCACUGUAGGUAUUUCAUUUGGCACAAGGAUAUUUUGUAUAGAAAAAAGUCUUUAUUUUAAGAACUGGUUUAAUAAUCAUAUCCUGCUGGUGACUGAACUUUGUAAUGUAGAAGGAUUGUUACUCAAUUAUGAGGAAUUUUUAUCUCGUUACAAUAUCCCUGUAACACCUAGAGAGAACACUAUAGUCUUUGACGCUAUUCCAUCUGGAACUCAUGUUUAGAGGCAUAGCCAGACCUCUGUCACGCCCUGACCAUAGAGCCAUUGUUUCUUUAUGGUGUAGUAGGUCAUUGUGUGACUAGGGGGUGAUCUAGUAUAUCUAUGUUGUGUUCUACUUUCUUUUUCUAUGUUGGUGUUUUGUAUGAUUCCCAAUUAGAGGCAGCUGGUAAUCAUUGUCUCUAAUUUGGG
rnacentral:lncRNA from 1 species